AUUGAACGCUGGCGGCAGGCCUAACACAUGCAAGUCGAGCGGAGCGGCGGACGGGUGAGUCAUGCCUAUAAAUCUGCCUGGUAGUGGGGGAUAACGUCCGGAAACGGGCGCUAAUACCGCAUACUAUCAGAUGAGCCUAGGUGGGAUUAGCUAUGUGGUGGGGUAAAGGCCUACCCAGGCGACGAUCCGUAACUGGUCUGAGAGGGUGAUCAGUCAAAUUGGAACUGAGACACGGUCCAGACUCCUACGGGAGGCAGCAGUGGGGAAUAUUGGACAAUGGGCGAAAGCCUGACCCAGCCAUGCCGCGUGAGUGAAGAAGGUCUUCGGAUUGUAAAGCACUUUUAGUUGGGAGGCGUUACCUACAGAAUAAGCACCGGCUAACUACGUGCCAGCAGCCGCGGUAAUUC
rnacentral:rRNA from 1 species